GCGGCCUAUCAGCUUGUUGGUGGGGUGAUGGCCUACCAAGGCGACGACGGGUAGCCGGCCUGAGAGGGUGAUCGGCCACAUUGGGACUGAGAUACGGCCCAGACUCCUACGGGAGGCAGCAGUGGGGAAUAUUGCACAAUGGGCGGAAGCCUGAUGCAGCGACGCCGCGUGAGGGAUGACGGCCUUCGGGUUGUAAACCUCUUUCAGCAGGGACGAAGCGUAAGUGACGGUACCUGCAGAAGAAGCACCGGCUAACUAUGUGCCAGCAGCCGCGGUAAUACGUAGGGUGCGAGCGUUGUCCGGAAUUACUGGGCGUAAAGAGCUCGUAGGCGGUUUGUCACGUCGUCUGUGAAAUCCUAGGGCUUAACCCUGGACGUGCAGGCGAUACGGGCUGACUUGAGUACUACAGGGGAGACUGGAAUUCCU
rnacentral:rRNA from 1 species